GCUAUUUAUGAAGAAAAUGAAAUAAUCAUAUAUACCACAUAUGCUGUCAUGCCCUUGGCUUCCCUACAUUCCCAAAAAUGUCCCUCCCUAGGCCUGUCUUCAGCUCAUCAAAAAGUUUCUUCCUAAGCCAAGUGGGCCUCCUGCCGAAACUGCUAGUCUUUACAUAGGGCCUUCUUCCUGCCUGAAUUCUCAAACAUCAAGAAGCUCUCCUGGGAACGCUUUGACCUUAUGCCUGUUCCCCUGGGAUUUUACCCUGCUCUUCUCUUUAAU